GCAAUAAUAGUUUAAAACUAAAAAUGUAGAUUUGUGGUGUCUGAGAUGCAAGUUUUGUUUAUUGUA
rnacentral:tRNA from 1 species